rnacentral:tRNA from 6 species
GCCCGGAUAGCUCAGUCGGUAGAGCAGGGGAUUGAAAAUCCCCGUGUCCUUGGUUAGAUUCCGAGUCCGGGCACCA